UCCAGCAGGACUGCGUUAAAAGGGACUUUGAGAUGCUUGGUUUUAUUUCUUAAGCUGCUAAAAACGGCAAUACAUGUCACCUUCCGGCUGACCCCAGGCACGGCAGGAAGAGGUGUCAGGCAGCAGCCCUGAUGCACUAACCCCUUCUCAUGGUGUACAAGGAUUGGCUAUUGACUAAUAAGUUCUUGCAAACUUCCCUGGGGGAAAGACAGAGCAGUCCUGAGGAUUAAAACCAUUGGAGCCCACCAAGUUACGCCUACCCUACUCUCUGCACUUUGAUGCUUGUGGCUGACCGCGCCCGAGGCCUGGGUGUCACAAACUCCUCACCUGGCGUCUUGCUGGAGGCAUUGCUGCUUUUCCAUUAACGGCCCUCUUCCUUUAAUUACAGAUCUGCACACGUUUGGCCAGGCUGCCAGCUUUCUGGGGCACUUCAUCCUCAGACAACGGCCCCCAUGUCUCGGCAUGAGAAAGGACAUUGUGGACCUGACUUUCCCAUCACUCUGAUCUAGUAACGUUUUAUACCCACGGAUGUAAAUGACACACGCGGGGCAGGCAAUGGUGAAUCAGGCCCUAUGAAGGUCAGCAUGGCAGGACCUCAAUAUCCUCGGGAGGUGCGCGCUGGAGGAGAAACCCAUGAAUAUGGAAGGUGGAAAAAAUGAAUGUUUAAUAACCGCUGACCAAAGGCAGUCCAGCAGAACAUCGCCUUUCCCUGAUGCGCUGAGGAUUAAGUUUGGGAUGUAGCUCGCUUUUCUCCAUUAGCUACGUACUGUCUCACAGAAAUGCCAUCUGCCAGUAUGAAAAAUGAAGCCAAUUAGGAACCAGCAGACUGCAUGGGCCAACAAGCACUUCAGCAGCUCCUGAGUUUGUGAAUAACAGCAACAGCCAUUUAUCUUACUAGUCGCAUGGCAUUUUUCGCCUUUCUGUGGCAUGGAUCCAGUCGGGCAACAGGCAGUAGCAUGGAAUAAACAGUAGCAGGAUUAACUCUGGUAUGGGAUGGGAAAUUUAUCAUGGAAUGUAGCAUAUGCCCUCCCCUACACUAGGGGGCUGCAUAACCAGCGUCUAGGUAACAUGACUCAGUGCUGCAGUCGAGGAGGCUAUGUUCAAAAAUAUGUCCCAAAGUUGAUUUUCCUGUUGGUUUGCAAUUGUAUAGACCCUGUCCAUAAUAUUUUUUGCCCUUGAUUUUAACCAAAAGGAUUUGCUUCCUUGAAAAGAGCAGGUUCUGGUAAAGCAGGUGUGGUCGACUUUUCUAGGCUUGUUGGCUACAUUUGCAAUCAUGUCACAGUUCAGGGAAAUUGCACCUGUAUUCCCCCUUCCUGGUCCAGCAAGGCAUCCACUCCUACAGUCAGAGAGAGGAUUGCAGCAGAUGGGCCCGCGCUAGCUUUGCUCGAGCUAGUGUGAAUAACAGUAACAAUGAAGUCAGGGCAGCACAGGCGGUACAAGCCCACCAGGACCCUGGGUACGUACUUAAGUGGCUAGCCCACGCUGACAUGGCUUCACUGCUUUUGAGCCGGCUAAAUCAAAGUUAGCACGUGCUGCAGUCACACCGCUGACUGCAGUGUAGAUGUACC